rnacentral:rRNA from 1 species
GAUGAACGCUGGCGGCGUGCCUAAUACAUGCAAGUCGAGCGAACAGAUGAGGAGCUUGCUCCUCUGACGUUAGCGGCGGACGGGUGAGUAACACGUGGAUAACCUACCUAUAAGACUGGGAUAACUUCGGGAAACCGGAGCUAAUACCGGAUAAUAUAUUGAACCGCAUGGUUCAAUAGUGAAAGACGGUUUUGCUGUCACUUAUAGAUGGAUCCGCGCCGCAUUAGCUAGUUGGUAAGGUAACGGCUUACCAAGGCAACGAUGCGUAGCCGACCUGAGAGGGUGAUCGGCCACACUGGAACUGAGACACGGUCCAGACUCCUACGGGGGGCAGCAGUAGGGAAUCUUCCGCAAUGGGCGAAAGCCUGACGGAGCAACGCCGCGUGAGUGAUGAAGGUCUUCGGACCGUAAAACUCUGUUAUUAGGGAAGAACAAAUGUGUAAGUAACUAUGCACGUCUUGACGGUACCUAAUCAGAAAGCCACGGCUAACUACGUG